rnacentral:rRNA from 1 species
AGGACGAACGCUGGCGGCGUGCUUAACACAUGCAAGUCGAGCGGAAAGGCCCUUCGGGGUACUCGAGCGGCGAACGGGUGAGUAACACGUGAGUAACCUGCCCCUAGCUCUGGGAUAGCUCCGGGAAACCGGGAUUAAUACCAGAUACGACCACUUUAGACAUCUGUCGUUGUGGAAAGGAUUCCGGCUAGGGAUGGGCUCGCGGCCUAUCAGCUUGUUGGUGGGGUAACGGCCUACCAAGACGACGACGGGUA